rnacentral:rRNA from 1 species
UACGGAAGGCAGCAGUGGGAAUAUUGCACAAUGGGCGAAAGCCUGAUGCAGCUAUGCCGCGUGUAUGAAGAAGGCCUUAGGGUUGUAAAGUACUUUCAUCGGGGAGGAAAAAACAAACUAAUAAUUUUAUUUCUUGACGUUACCCGAAAAAGAAGCACCGGCUAACUCCGUGCCAGCAGCCGCGGUAAUACGGAGGGUGCUAGCGUUAAUCAGAAUUACUGGGCGUAAAGAGCACGUAGGUGGUUUUUUUAAGUCAGAUGUGAAAUCCCUGGGCUUAACCUGGAACUGCAUUUUGAAACUGAAAUACUAGAGUAUCGUAGAGGGAGGUGAAAUUCCAUGUGUAGCGGUGAAAUGCGUAGAGAUGUGGAGGAAUACCGGUGGCGAAGCGGCCCCUGGACAAAGACUGACGCUCAUGUGCGAAAGCGUGGGGAGCAAACAGGGAUUAGAUACC